UGGGGAUGACGUCAAGUCAUUCAUGGCCCUUACGGCCAGGGCUACACACGUGCUACAAUGGUCGGUACAAAGGGUUGCCAAGCCGCGAGGUGGAGCUAAUCCCAAUAAACCGAUCGUAGUCCGGAUCGCAGUCUGCAACUCGACUGCGUGAAGUCGGAAUCGCUAGUAAUCGUGAAUCAGAAUGUCACGGUGAAUACGUUCCCGGGCCUU
rnacentral:rRNA from 1 species